ACGAACGCUGGCGGCACGCUUAACACAUGCAAGUCGAACGAGAGAAGAGAAGCUUGCUUUUCUGAUCUAGUGGCGGACGGGUGAGUAACACGUGAGCAAUCUGCCUUUCAGAGGGGGAUACCGAUUGGAAACGAUCGUUAAUACCGCAUAAUAUAAUUGAACCGCAUGAUUUGAUUAUCAAAGAUUUAUCGCUGAAAGAUGAGCUCGCGUCUGAUUAGCUAGUUGGUAAGGUAACGGCUUACCAAGGCGACGAUCAGUAGCCGGACUGAGAGGUUGAUCGGCCACAUUGGGACUGAGACACGGCCCAGACUCCUACGGGAGGCAGCAGUGGGGAAUAUUGCACAAUGGAGGAAACUCUGAUGCAGCGAUGCCGCGUGAGGGAAGAAGGUUUUAGGAUUGUAAACCUCUGUCUUCAGGGACGAAAAAAGACGGUACCUGAGGAGGAAGCUCCGGCUAACUACGUGCCAGCAGCCGCGGUAAUACGUAGGGAGCGAGCGUUGUCCGGAAUUACUGGGUGUAAAGGGAGCGUAGGCGGGAUCGCAAGUCAGAUGUGAAAACUAUGGGCUUAACCCAUAAACUGCAUUUGAAACUGUGGUUCUUGAGUGAAGUAGAGGUAAGCGGAAUUCCUAGUGUAGCGGUGAAAUGCGUAGAUAUUAGGAGGAACAUCAGUGGCGAAGGCGGCUUACUGGGCUUUAACUGACGCUGAGGCUCGAAAGCGUGGGGAGCAAACAGGAUUAGAUACCCUGGUAGUCCACGCCGUAAACGAUGAUUACUAGGUGUGGGGGGACUGACCCCUUCCGUGCCGCAGCAAACGCAAUAAGUAAUCCACCUGGGGAGUACGACCGCAAGGUUGAAACUCAAAGGAAUUGACGGGGGCCCGCACAAGCAGUGGAGUAUGUGGAUUAAUUCGAAGCAACGCGAAGAACCUUACCAGGUCUUGACAUCGUAUGCAUAGCUCAGAGAUGAGUGAAAUCUCUUCGGAGACAUAUAGACAGGUGGUGCAUGGUUGUCGUCAGCUCGUGUCGUGAGAUGUUGGGUUAAGUCCCGCAACGAGCGCAACCCUUACUGUUAGUUGCUACGCAAGAGCACUCUAGCAGGACUGCCGUUGACAAAACGGAGGAAGAUGGGGAUGACGUCAAAUCAUCAUGCCCCUUAUGACCUGGGCCUCACACGUACUACAAUGGCUGUCAACAGAGGGAUGCAAAGCCGCGAGGUGGAGCGAACCCCUAAAAGCAGUCUUAGUUCGGAUUGUAGGCUGCAACCCGCCUACAUGAAGUCGGAAUUGCUAGUAAUCGCAGAUCAGCAUGCUGCGGUGAAUACGUUCCCGGGCCUUGUACACACCGCCCGUCACGCCAUGGGAGUCGGUAACACCCGAAGCCUGUAGUCUAACCGCAAGGAGGACGCAGUCGAAGGUGGGAUUGAUGACUGGGGUG
rnacentral:rRNA from 1 species